rnacentral:rRNA from 1 species
AUUGAACGCUGGCGGCAGGCCUCACCCCUGCAAGUCGAACGAGUGGCGGACGGGUGAGUAAGGUCUGGGAAACUGCCUGAUGGAGGGGGAUAACUACUGGAAACGGUAGCUAAUAACGCAUACCAUAGGAUGUGCCCAGAUGGGAUUAGAUAGGAGGUGGGGUAACGGCUCACCUAGGCGACGAUCCCUAGCUGGUCUGAGAGGAUGACCAGCCACACUGGAACUGAGACACGGUCCAGCAUCCUACGGUAGGCAGCAGUGGGGAAUAUUGCACAAUGGGCGCAAGCCUGAUGCAGCCAUGCCGCGUGUAUGAAGAAGGCCUUCGGGUUGUAAAGUACUUUCAGCUGGGAGGCGUUACCCGCAGAAGAAGCACAGGCUAACUCCGUGCCAGCAGCCGCGGUAAUUC